rnacentral:rRNA from 1 species
GACGAACGCUGGCGGCGUGCCUAAUACAUGCAAGUAGAACGCUGAAGGAGGAGCUUGCUCUUCUGGAUGAGUUGCGAACGGGUGAGUAACGCGUAGGUAACCUGCCUGGUAGCGGGGGAUAACUAUUGGAAACGAGAGCUAAUACCGCAUAACAGUAGAUGUUGCAUGACAUUGGCUGAAAAGGUGCAAUGGCACCACUACCAGAUGGACCUGCGUUGUAUUAGCUAGUUGGUGGGGUAACGGCUCACCAAGGCGACGAUACAUAGCCGACCUGAGAGGGGGAUCGGCCACACUGGGACUGUGACACGCCCCAGUCUCCUACGGGUGGCAGCAGUAGUGAAUCUUCGGCAAUGGACGGAAGUCUGACCGCGCAACGCCGCGUGCGUGUAGAAGGUUUUCGGAUCGUAAAUCUCUGUUGUAAGAGAAUAACGCGUGUGAGCCUGUAAAGUUCACUCUGUGACGGUAUCUUACCAGAAAGGGACGGCUAACUACGUG